GACGAACGCUGGCGGCGUGCUUAACACAUGCAAGUCGAACGGAAAGGCCCUGCUUUUGUGGGGUGCUCGAGUGGCGAACGGGUGAGUAACACGUGAGUAACCUGCCCUUGACUUUGGGAUAACUUCAGGAAACUGGGGCUAAUACCGGAUAGGAGCUCCUGCUGCAUGGUGGGGGUUGGAAAGUUUCGGCGGUUGGGGAUGGACUCGCGGCUUAUCAGCUUGUUGGUGGGGUAGUGGCUUACCAAGGCUUUGACGGGUAGCCGGCCUGAGAGGGUGACCGGCCACAUUGGGACUGAGAUACGGCCCAGACUCCUACGGGAGGCAGCAGUGGGGAAUAUUGCACAAUGGGCGGAAGCCUGAUGCAGCAACGCCGCGUGCGGGAUGACGGCCUUCGGGUUGUAAACCGCUUUCGCCUGUGACGAAGCGUGAGUGACGGUAAUGGGUAAAGAAGCACCGGCUAACUACGUGCCAGCAGCCGCGGUGAUACGUAGGGUGCGAGCGUUGUCCGGAUUUAUUGGGCGUAAAGGGCUCGUAGGUGGUUGAUCGCGUCGGAAGUGUAAUCUUGGGGCUUAACCCCUGAGCGUGCUUUCGAUACGGGUUGACUUGAGGAAGGUAGGGGAGAAUGGAAUUCCUGGUGGAGCGGUGGAAUGCGCAGAUAUCAGGAGGAACACCAGUGGCGAAGGCGGUUCUCUGGCCUUUCCUGACGCUGAGGAGCGAAAGCGUGGGGAGCGAACAGGCUUAGAUACCCUGGUAGUCCACGCUGUAAACGGUGGGUACUAGGUGUGGGGUCCAUUCCACGGGUUCCGUGCCGUAGCUAACGCUUUAAGUACCCCGCCUGGGGAGUACGGCCGCAAGGCUAAAACUCAAAGGAAUUGACGGGGCCCCGCACAAGCGGCGGAGCAUGCGGAUUAAUUCGAUGCAACGCGUAGAACCUUACCUGGGUUUGACAUGGAUCGGGAGUGCUCAGAGAUGGGUGUGCCUCUUUUGGGGUCGGUUCACAGGUGGUGCAUGGCUGCCGUCAGCUCGUGUCGUGAGAUGUUGGGUUAAGUCCCGCAACGAGCGCAACCCUUGUUCACUGUUGCCAGCACGUUAUGGUGGGGACUCAGUGGAGACCGCCGGGGUCAACUCGGAGGAAGGUGGGGAUGACGUCAAGUCAUCAUGCCCCUUAUGUCCAGGGCUUCACGCAUGCUACAAUGGCUGGUACAGAGAGUGGCGAGCCUGUGAGGGUGAGCGAAUCUCGGAAAGCCGGUCUCAGUUCGGAUUGGGGUCUGCAACUCGACCUCAUGAAGUCGGAGUCGCUAGUAAUCGCAGAUCAGCAACGCUGCGGUGAAUACGUUCCCGGGGCU
rnacentral:rRNA from 1 species